CGGUGCAAGGUGUGGCCUUCACGCUUAUUGCCCAUCGCUUUCACAUUGACGUGUGCCUCUGCUGCUGCUGUAGUGUCCGCAUCUCUCAUCUUUUUUUUUGCGUUGCUUGUAAGGCACUUAUAUCCGCCUUUGAAGUGCGCCUACGUUUUGCAUGUGUGUGUGUAUGCAUUGUGUGUUUUGGUGCUCUUCGCUAAUAAUAAGUCUCAUCCCCUUCAUGCGCGACGUGCGUCUGAACACGCGUUCACGCACGUGCGUUUUGGCGUGCUCAGACUUCUGUCUCCGUUUUUCGCUGUUCGCUUUACAGUAUAUUGCACAUAUAUAUAUGUGCUAUUUAUAAUAAUAAUAUAUAUACACCUAUAUGUAUUUAUUUAUAUAUAUAUAUUUUUUUUGGUUUUGCUGAUCGUUUUAUCGUCGGAGCGAAACGCUGUGCAUCAACGAGCAGCGUCUGACAUCUACCGCGAUAGGACACAGGUGAGAGAAGCGAGAAAGAAUAUUCCCACAAGAGCCUCACCGGGUUCUACGAAGUUGUGCUUUCAAGUAGGAUGAACACGGCGACUGUGAUGAUGGCGCGCGGCCCGGUCACCCCACACCGCCGCCUUAGUAGAUGCACCAGCGCGCUCUGUUGUGCCAUCGCGAUCGCACUGUUUUGUGCUCUUUGUUGCGAAGUCAGCGCGCUGGAGGUGGGCAAGUUUUUUCCCGCCAAGACGCGCAUGAGCGCGAAGGAUCGUUACGAAUCUGUUCUGGCGCUGCAGUCUCUGCAGCGCGCGAUCGACGACCCUGAGCUGCAAAAGGAGGUAGAGUCCGCGCUCAAGGACACAACGAGGGGCUUCGACAUGUGCCGAUCGGCGCUGUACCGCUGCAACCGCGUGACCGGCGCUCUCGAGGAGGCGGUCAUCGAGGGCAUGCGAGACGGAACUGUGAAGUGGGACGAGUAUCCCAAGUCGGUGAAGCGGAUCCGCAUCACGGACUCGAGGCUGAGGCAGCCACUCGUGCUCUCCAGCUUACCUGCGAACCUUGAGGAAUUCGUGGCAACGAACGUGGAGUGGGAGUCCGACUCGAUUCUUCAGGCCCCAGGGAGUGGCGAGGGGGGAGUUGUGAAGGGGCCCUUGGCUCAUCUUCGCGUUUUGCAAUGUGACAACUGCGCUCUCGUGAAGGCAGAGGUGACGACGACGACACCCCAGCUGGAGUGGCUGCAGGUGUUGAGCCUUUCCGGCAAUCCAGACUUGUUCAUCGAUCUCCGCGAGCUGCCGCGCAACCUCCAAUCUCUGCAGCUCUCGUACACACAGCUGGCUCACUCCACGGUCAGGGAGGUAUUGGAGACUGCGCCGGCGUUUCUCUCGCUGCUGAAUAUCAGCUUCACCGGUGUUGCUCUGACCCUCGACAUGCUGCCGUCUGCACGGAAUCAGCUGAAGGCGUUGGAUGUGUCCGGCCUGGAAAGCAACAACCCGGGGUCACCUCUGUCUCUCUCUCAGCUGCAAAGCGCGUGUGGCGAAAGUGGCUUCAGCCUCGCAGAACUGUACCUCACCAGGUGCAGCCUGACGGGCACCCUCCCUCACCUUCGUAACUGCACGAAGCUGAAGGUGAUGGAUGUGUCGCACAACCUCCUCGAUGGCGCCGUGUUCGCUCAACUCCCCGAGAACAUAGAGUUGCUGCGUCUCAACAACAAUGCGAUACAGGGUGGCCUGCGCACCAGCGAACUCCCGCGCACUCUGCGCUCCCUUGAUCUUUCUGAAAACCAUUUCACGGGUGAGGUCGACCUCUCGGCACUGCCGCCGCAGCUGCAGUACCUCAACAUUGGCCACAAUCACUUCAGCGGCCAGGUGAACCUCACGCAGCUACCCGAGUCUGUCAAGUUUGUGUACAUGGAGUAUAACAACUUCACCGGCGCGGCUGACCUCGUCGACCUCCCACUCGGCAUCCGUUUUAUCAUGGUCCACCACAACAACUGGGACUACCUCAUGCCCGCCCCGUGAGAUGGGCCAGCACCAUUUAAGGCGAAAAAGCCGGCGGAAGGGUGCGGCGUUCUUAUUGUGGUGCUCGUGGUGGCAGCCUCAGCUCUCCGUCUUGCUCACCCUCUGCAUCUGAGCCGUUCACCUCCGUCUUCGUCUCUCUCUUUCUCCCCAUGCCAGUGCGCACGUACGUAUCUGCUUUUGGUGGUGAUUAAGCGCGGGGGUGGCGUAGCCAGGCGGUGGCGGCAGGGUUGGGGGGCAUCAAGUCAACAUUGUGCCUGGUUUAUGAGCAGCGAGCACCUUUGGGCUGUAGCACGUGUUGAGGAGAGUAAUAUCCAGCGCAUUCUUGUGUGACUAUCAUUUCGUGCGCCAUGUUACCUUCUCCUGCUCGCCCUUUUUUUUCCUAACACCAUUCGGUUACUUUUUUUCUGCUGCUUUUAG
rnacentral:misc_RNA from 1 species